rnacentral:rRNA from 1 species
GACGACCGCUGGCGGCGUGCUUAACACAUGCAAGUCGAAGAUAGUGGCGAACGGGUGAGUAAUACGUAGUAACCUGCCUGGUAGUGGGGGAUAACGUCCGGAAACGGGCGCUAAUACCGCAUACUAUCAGAUGAGCCUAGGUCGGAUUAGCUAGUUGGUGGGGUAAAGGCCUACCAAGGCGACGAUCCGUAACUGGUCUGAGAGGAUGAUCAGUCACAGUGGAACUGAGACACAGUCCAGACGCCGACGGGAGGCAGCAGUGGGGAAUAGUGGACAAUGGGCGAAAGCCUGAUGCAGCGACGCCGCGUGGGGGAUGAAGGCUUUCGGGUUGUAAACCUCUUUCGCUAUCGAACGGGUAGGUGGAGAAGAAGCGCCGGCUAACUACGUGCCAGCAGCCGCGGUAAUAC